rnacentral:pre_miRNA from 1 species
GUGCAUUGUAGUUGCAUUGCAAGUUCUCAUCAAAACUUUGCGAUGCAUCUGCGGUGCAAUCA